AGCAGUAGCCGCGGUAAUACGGAGGGGGCUAGCGUUGUUCGGAAUUACUGGGCGUAAAGCGCACGUAGGCGGCUUGGUAAGUUAGAGGUGAAAGCCCGGAGCUCAACUCCGGAAUCGCCUUUAAGACUGCCGAGCUAGUAGGUGAGAGAGGUAAGUGGAAUCCCGAGUGUAGAGGUGAAAUUCGUAGAUAUUCGGAAGAACACCAGUGGCGAAGGCGGCUUACUGGCUCAUUCUAGACGCUGAGGUGCGAAAGCGUGGGGAGCAAACAGGAUUAGAUACCCCCGUAGUCCCUGUCUCUUAUAA
rnacentral:rRNA from 1 species